rnacentral:rRNA from 1 species
UGGGGAAUCUUGCGCAAUGGGCGAAAGCCUGACGCAGCCAUGCCGCGUGAAUGAUGAAGGUCUUAGGAUUGUAAAAUUCUUUCACCGGGGACGAUAAUGACGGUACCCGGAGAAGAAGCCCCGGCUAACUUCGUGCCAGCAGCCGCGGUAAUACGAAGGGGGCUAGCGUUGCUCGGAAUUACUGGGCGUAAAGGGAGCGUAGGCGGACAUUUAAGUCAGGGGUGAAAUCCCAGAGCUCAACUCUGGAACUGCCUUUGAUACUGGGUGUCUUGAGUGUGAGAGAGGUAUGUGGAACUCCGAGUGUAGAGGUGAAAUUCGUAGAUAUUCGGAAGAACACCAGUGGCGAAGGCGACAUACUGGCUCAUUACUGACGCUGAGGCUCGAAAGCGUGGGGAGCAAACAGGAUUAGAUACCCUGGUAGUCCACGCCGUAAACGAUGAUUGCUAGUUGUCGGGAUGCAUGCAUUUCGGUGACGCAGCUAACG